AUUGAACGCUGGCGGCAGGCCUAACACAUGCAAGUCGAACGAGUGGCGGACGGGUGAGUAAUGUCUGGGAAACUGCCUGAUGGAGGGGGAUAACUCCUGGAAACUGUUGCUAAUACCGUAUACCUUCGGAUGGGCCCAGAUGGGAUUAGCUAGUAGUUGGGGCCAAGGCACACCUAGGCGACGAUCCCUAGCUGGUCUGAGAGGAUGACCAGUCACACUGGAACUGAGACACGGUCCAGACUCCUACGGGAGGCAGCAGUGGGGAAUAUUGCACAAUGGGCGAAAGCCUGAUGCAGCCAUGCCGCGUGUAUGAAGAAGGCCUUCGGGUUGUAAAGUACUUUCAGCGGGGAGGCGUUACCAGCAGAAGAAGCACCGGCUAACUCCGUGCCAGCAGCCGCGGUAAUAC
rnacentral:rRNA from 1 species